UGGACUGUAGGUUCGAGUCCUACCCGUAGUGCCAAAUCAGAAUGUCGUAGGUUCGAUCCCUACCAGUCCAGCCA
rnacentral:tRNA from 1 species